rnacentral:rRNA from 1 species
UUUGACCUCAGGUCAGCGGGGGCUA